GUUGCAGCGUACAUGUUAUUGUACCCUGCAACAAAUCCGUGUAACAAAAUUUGUUUGCUGGAAUAAUAUUAUUGUUGAAUAAUUAAUUCAUUUAACUAAAAUAUCUAUCUCAAAAUUUUAGAGUUCCCCGCGCUCAACUCCAAGCUUCUUCCCUCAGUUUUCAAUUCCUUGCGUCGACGACGAACUCAGAGCUUGCUCGGUCCUGCGUCGCCGUCGAACUCAUCUUGCUCGGAUCCGCCGUCACUCUCCUCGCCGGUGAGUGUUUUUUCUCGCCUCCUCCCCCCGUCGCGUCCUGUACCUUCUCCGCGCUGAACCACGACUGACAUAGUCGCUGAAAACUCAGCUAGCUCGGCCGGUGGUUCUAAGAAAGAACGGUCUGUUCUCCGGUGCUUGCUCGGCCGUCACUCCUCGCCACAACAAGAAUCUAUCAUCGUGCUUGUUUAGAUUUAAAAACUGCAUUAAGGCUUCUAUGUUGCUGUUGACACCAGCAUUUGCAAGGCUUAUUUUGCGACUUAAUCUUCAGCCUCCUGAAUUUGUUUCUGAUUUUGAGUUAGCGCUCCCUAGUCAAAUCCUAUUCUGCUAUGGUUCCAGCUAGCCUCUUGCUUGUAGCCUUGUAGGGGAUAAGAAAAGGUAGAGUUCCCCAAAAACCAUUCGCAAAAUAAUCGAUUUCUUUGCCUGGAAGUCUACGAUUACUCAUUGGCACCAACUUUGCGUUUGCUGGUUCGGGUUACGCCGAGAGAACAGCCAGCUUAUAUAGGGCGGUAUCUCUUACGCAACAGUUGCGGUACUACAAGGAGUACCAGAGUAAGGUGACAAAAUUGGUGGGGAUUGAGAAAGAAAAAGGGAUGUUCUCAGCUGGAAUUCAUCUUCUCAGUGCUGGAAAUAGUGAUUAUCUUCAUAAUUACAACAUCAAUACUUAUAUCUACAGACAGUAUACACCUGAUCAGUUUGCUGAUCUUCUUAUGACCUCCUUCUCUAACUUUGUCCAGUUCUUUAAGCGCUCGGUGGAUCAGUAUGAGAGUGACUUGCAGUUUGUGGUCCAAUCUCUUUUACUUUCUAUGGAUGUAAACGAGCUUCAGCUUGUUAAAUCUGGUCUAUGCUAUGGAAAUUGUAUUCGUUAUGCUUUGGUGAAGCUUCUCAGAUCGUCGGGCUACAAUGCUGCAGUAUGUGCUUCAAAAUGGCAAGCUUGUAACAAGGUGCCUGGAGGUGCAUCCAGAGAAGUACCUGGAUAGUCUUCAAAGUAGCUCGACUGUUGCUCAAAUUGUGGAGGUUGCUUGAUAUGUAUUUGGAUCCACAGAACGGUAAGGAACCAAUGCUCAAUGCUGCAGUUUGCCUUCUUCAUAAUCACUAAGAGUCACUCGAUCCUCUGCAAGUCCUAGAGGUAUUUGACCAGGACCACGAUUAGAGCAUGGGGUUUAUAAUCUGUCGCGACUAAGAGAAUCAGCAGCCACCGGAUUCAAGUCUUUUCACAUCCCUGUUCAUUGGAUGCUUGACACCGGAUUCGUCAGUCAGGUCUAUACUCUGAGGAAUACGUCUUAUGCUAGUGAGGAAAUUGAUGUGGUUCGUGAGCAAUGGGCUGCAAGUAUUUAUUAUUGGCCUAGCGACCCUUGAUCGAGUUAGUUUAGAUAUUAUAGAACAAUCUUUUAUGUUAAAAUGUAUGCAUACGUUGAAAUUGGAACAUACAUAUAUUUAAAUGUAUAUGGUACGUGCACUUUUGUUUUGGGUAUCUUGAAAAUACUAUUUAUUGUUUUUAUAU